rnacentral:rRNA from 1 species
UACGUAGGGACCGAGCGUUGUCCGGAUUCAUUGGGCGUAAAGAGCUCGUAGGCGGCCACUCAAGUCGAAUGUGAAACCUCGAGGCUUAACCUCGAGCCUGCAUUCGAUACUGGGCGGCUAGAGUCUGGUAGGGGGAUCUGGAAUUCCUGGUGUAGCGGUGGAAUGCGCAGAUAUCAGGAGGAAUACCGAUGGCGAAGGCAGGUCUCUGGGCUAACACUGACGCUCAUGCACGAAAGCGUGGGGAGCAAACAGG